CCCCCAUGUCCCACUGCCAUGUCUUUCAGGCUCUUGGGCUGUGUGGUGCUGUGUCUCCUGGGAGCAGGCCCAGUGGAAGCUGGAGUGACCCAGACCCCGAGACAUUUCAUCACAAGGACAGGAAGGCAGUUGACACUGUAUUGUUCUCAAGAUAUGGACCAUGAUGCAAUGUACUGGUAUCGACAAGACCCAGGAGUGGGUCUGAAGCUGAUCUACUUUUCAAGAAACGUUGACUUUAUUGAAGAUGGAGAUGUCCCGGAUGGGUACAGUGUCUUGCGGAAAGAGAAGAAGGACUUCCCCUUGACCCUAAAGUCCACAGGCACGAACCAGACCUCUUUGUACCUCUGUGCCAGUAGUGUAUCCACGGGACAGGGGGAUGAUUUUACCUUCGGCCCAGGGACCAAGCUGACAGUUGUCGACAAUGUGGAAAAGGUCAAACCUCCCACGGUCACAGUGUUUGAACCAUCGGAAGCAGAGACCUCCCGAACCCAGAAGGCCACACUCGUGUGCCUGGCCACCGGCUUCUACCCCGACCACGUGGAGCUGAGCUGGUGGGUGAAUGGGAAGGAGGUCCAGAAUGGGGUCAGCACGGACCCUCAGCCCUACAGGGAGCGGCUGGAUGAGAAUGACUCCAGCUACUGUCUGAGCAGCCGGCUGAGGGUGUCCUCUACCUUCUGGCACAACCCUCRUAACCACUUUCGCUGCCAAGUCCAGUUCCACGGGCUCGGGGACGAUGACGAGUGGCCCAACGACAAACGGACCAAACCCGUCACCCAGAUCGUCAGUGCCGAGGCCUGGGGCAGAGCAGACUGUGGCUUCACUUCGGUGUCCUAUCAGCAGGGCAUCCUGUCUGCCACCAUCCUCUAUGAGAUCCUGCUGGGGAAGGCCACCCUGUAUGCUGUGCUGGUCAGUGCCCUGGUGCUGAUGGCCAAGGUCAAGAGAAAGGGUUCCUGAGACCAGCUCAGAAAAUGCACCCUGAAUUGCUCAUCAUCCUCCCUGAGAUUCUCCCUAACGUGCUCUAGUCUGCAUUUCUAGAAGUUAAUCUCUCUCCACCUCUUAUCUCCUUCUUGCUGGGAUAUCUGUCCCUUCUCUCUGCUUUCCUGCAGACUGAGUUCCUCAACCCUGAAACGGAAAUAGACUAAAACAAUAAAAGUGUCCUGCCAGGCCA